ACGAAGGGGGCUAGCGUUGCUCGGAAUUACUGGGCGUAAAGGGAGCGUAGGCGGACAGUUUAGUCAGAGGUGAAAGCCCAGGGCUCAACCUUGGAAUUGCCUUUGAUACUGACUGUCUUGAGUAUGGGAGAGGUUAGCGGAACUCCGAGUGUAGAGGUGAAAUUCGUAGAUAUUCGGAAGAACACCAGUGGCGAAGGCGGCUAACUGGCCCAUUACUGACGCUGAGGCUCGAAAGCGUGGGGAGCAAACAGGA
rnacentral:rRNA from 1 species